GGGCCCGCACAAGCGGUGGAGCAUGUGGUUUAAUUCGAUGCAACGCGAAGAACCUUACCUACCCUUGACAUACAGUGAACCCUGGAGAGAUCUGGGGGUGCCGCAAGGAGCACUGAUACAGGUGCUGCAUGGCUGUCGUCAGCUCGUGUCGUGAGAUGUUGGGUUAAGUCCCGUAACGAGCGCAACCCUUAUCCUUAGUUGCCAGCGAUUCGGUCGGGAACUCUAAGGAGACUGCCGGUGACAAACCGGAGGAAGGCGGGGACGACGUCAAGUCAUCAUGGCCCUUACGGGUAGGGCUACACACGUGCUACAAUGGCCGAUACAGAGGGCAGCGAAGGAGCGAUCUGGAGCGAAUCCUAAAAAGUCGGUCGUAGUCCGGAUUGGAGUCUGCAACUCGACUCCAUG
rnacentral:rRNA from 1 species